CAAAAAAGAAAAAAAAACUAUAUAUUUUUCCUCCAAAAAAUGGAAGGGAAGAAAAGAAAAGGAAUAUCUCAAUCAAAUAAUCCUACAUUGAUAUAUUUAUAGAGGAUGAAAGUAGUUUUGUAAAUCCAUUUAACUUGGAUCUCUUGUAGAAAAAUAAUAGAAAAUAAAAGAUUUUGAAAGUAGGUUUUAGACCCUCUUUUUCUGGUAAAUUGAAAAAUUACACCAUUCUAUUAUAAGUAUAACGUACAGUUAGGGGUGGCAAUCGGAUCUGGUCGGGUCAGAUACAGAUCGGGUCAGAAAAUAUCAAACCUGAACCCAAUCUGUUUAUUAAACAUGUCAGAUUUUCAAACCUGAAUCUGACCCAUUUAAUAAACAGGUCAUCCGACCCGACCCAUUUAACCUGUUUAUUAAACAGUUAACCUGUUAUUCGAUCCGAUCCAACCCAAUCCGUUUAACCCGUUUAUCAUUUAACCUAUUUAUUAAACAGUUAACCUGUUUAUCCGAUCUGACCCAAUCUGUUUAAUCCGUUUAUCAUUUAACCUGUUUAUUAAAUAGCUAACCUGUUUAAUC
rnacentral:lncRNA from 1 species